UCCUUCUGUAAAUACUCCGUUUAUGCCUUGUUACACACCCUGUGUUUUUGCUCUGGUCUGGUCCUGAGUUCCUUCAUGACUGUUGCCUGGAUGUUCAUGUGGCUUAUGUUUUUCACCAGCCUGAGUUCCUGUGCCUGGUCAGCUAAUCCAGGCACAUGGACCCAGCAGCAGUGACCGGGUUUAAAGGAAGCUGAGACUGCCUCCAAAGGAUCUCCACAAACAGCUCUAGACAGGGACACUUAAAUCCUCCCAUUACCUCUGCUUUUGGAGAAGAUGGACUAAGGGUCGCCUUUCUGGGGAUCUAGACUGACUAUUUAUCCGAAUAACUGAUACAACUCAGUCUCCAUGAUUUCAUCAAAAAGAUAUUUAAACCUACCUGGCCCAACACAUCAUGCACCAAGAACAGAUCAGAAACAAAGUGAGCAAUACCUGCCACUGCAGGCCUCACUUGCUUCAGUUAAGGUCUGUGGUAACGAUUCAAACAUCAGGAGACCAGGUAAAAACUCAGAUUUUCCAAAGAAUAUUUUAAUGAUCCUCAAGACAUUUGGGAAAAUACAUAGUAAAUCUAUGAGACAAAGUGAAACAUUUGGAAGUUGUGUGUCCCAUUAAAUCCGGAGUAAAACUUAUAAAAUAAAAAAAACAGUAUAUAAUAUAUAUACUGAAACAUUA